rnacentral:rRNA from 1 species
GACGAACGCUGGCGGCGUGCCUAAUACAUGCAAGUAGGACGCAGUUGCGAACGGGUGAGUAACGCGUAGGUAACUACCUAUUAGAGGGGGAUAACUAUUGGAAACGAUAGCUAAUACCGCAUACUAGUAGAUGGAGCUGCGUUGUAUUAGCUAGUAGGUAGGGUAAUGGCCUACCUAGGCAACGUAACAUAACCGACCUGGGGAGGUGAUCGAGCACACUGGGACUGGGAAAAGGCCCAGGCUCCUUCGGGAGGCAGGAGUAGGGAAUCUUCGGCCAUGGGGGGCACGCUUGCCAAGCAACGCCGCGUGAGUGAAGAAGGUUUUCGGAUCGUAAAGCUCUGUUGUUCAGGAAGCGGUACUUAACCAGAAAGGGACGGCUAACUACGUGCCAGCAGCCGCGGUAAUUC